UACAGAGACUGCAAGCGUUAUUCGGAUUCACUGGGCGUAAAGGGUGCGCAGGCGGUCGGGUGUGUCAGAUGUGAAAUCCCGAGGCUUAACCUCGGAACUGCGUCUGAAACUACUCGACUAGAGUACUGGAGAGGGAAACGGAAUUCACGGUGUAGCAGUGAAAUGCGUAGAUAUCGUGAGGAACACCAGAGGCGAAGGCGGUUUCCUGGACAGUUACUGACGCUCAGGCACGAAAGCAUGGGGAGCAAAAGGG
rnacentral:rRNA from 1 species